GACGAACGCUGGCGGCGUGCUUAACACAUGCAAGUCGAACGGAAAGGCCCUGCUUUUGUGGGGUGCUCGAGUGGCGAACGGGUGAGUAACACGUGAGUAACCUGCCCUUGACUUUGGGAUAAUUUCAGGAAACUGGGGCUAAUACCGGAUAGGAGCUCCUGCUGCAUGGUGGGGGUUGGAAAGUUUCGGCGGUUGGGGAUGGACUCGCGGCUUAUCAGCUUGUUGGUGGGGUAGUGGCUUACCAAGGCUUUGACGGGUAGCCGGCCUGAGAGGGUGACCGGCCACAUUGGGACUGGGAUACGGCCCAGACUCCUACGGGAGGCAGCAGUGGGGAAUAUUGCACAAUGGGCGGAAGCCUGAUGCAGCAACGCCGCGUGCGGGAUGACGGCCUUCGGGUUGUAAACCGCUUUCGCCUGUGACGAAGCGUGAGUGACGGUAAUGGGUAAAGAAGCACCGGCUAACUACGUG
rnacentral:rRNA from 1 species